GUCUAUGGCCAUACCACCCUGAACGCACCCAAUCUUGUCUGAUCUCAGAAGCUAAGCAGGGUCGGGCCUGGUUAGCACUUGGAUGGGAGAAGGAGAGGAGGACUUCUGGUUGGCUGGUUG
rnacentral:rRNA from 1 species